rnacentral:lncRNA from 1 species
CUCCAAAAUAAGUUGCUCGAAGCAACCAUAUAGCCCGGACCAAACCCUCUGGCAUUUGAACUCCCAAACAGUCCCUCGGUCGUCAGCCCAAGUGUCUUUGUACGCAUAUCUACAGUAGUCUGGGUACAGAAUACGGACACACACCUCUACAGUUGUUUAGCAGUCUCCUUCUUCGCCGGCCAAGCGAUUAAAGCUCAUACAUUACCAGAUCUCUCCCUCCCUCUCUCUCUCUGGUACUAGCUUUCCGUUCUCAUCGUCCUCCACACCACACUCAUCUCUCUCUAGUAACUAUUAACCGCAUGUGUUUUCUAUUAGCAUUUAUUUUUGGGCACAAGGGCUUCGAAUUUGAAUUCGAUGGAGAUCUAGUUGAAAUUUCACUUUCAUUCAGAAAACCUAGGUGUUCGACCAAUGCAAAGCUCGACGACCUCGGGCGGCCC